rnacentral:rRNA from 1 species
UUUGCCUACGGGGCGCAGCAGUGAGGAAUAUUGGUCAAUGGCCGGAAGGCUGAACCAGCCAAGCCGCGUGAAGGACGAAGGUGCCAAGCAUUGUAAACUUCUUUUGUCAAGGGACAAAAUCAGGCUCGAGAGCCUGACCGAGGGUACUUGAAGAAAAAGCAUCGGCUAACUCCGUGCCAGCAGCCGCGGUAAUACGGAGGAUGCGAGCGUUAUCCGGAUUUAUUGGGUUUAAAGGGUGCGUAGGCGGGCUUUUAAGUCAGCGGUAAAAAUUCGGGGCUCAACCCCGUCCGGCCGUUGAAACUGGG